GUUAAACGAGAAGACUUUAGAUAUGAUCCAGAGUACCACGGGACACGUGAAACCCUGUGGGAAGCAGGAGGGACCACCCUCAAAGGCUAAAUACUACCUAGUGACCGAUAGCGUAUAGUACCGUGAGGGAAAGGUGAAAAGAACCCCGGGAGGGGAGUGAAAUAGAACCUGAAACCCUGCACUUACAAGCUGUGGAAGCACAUUUCUUG
rnacentral:rRNA from 1 species